AUUGAACGCUGGCGGCAGGCCUAACACAUGCAAGUCGAACGGUAACAGGAAGCAGCUUGCUGCUUCGCUGACGAGUGGCGGACGGGUGAGUAAUGUCUGGGAAACUGCCUGAUGGAGGGGGAUAACUACUGGAACCGGUAGCUAAUACUGCAUAACGUCGCAAGACCAACGAGGGGGACCUUCGGGCCUCUUGCCACAGGAGGUGCCCAGAUGGGAUUAGCUAGUAGGUGGGGUAACGGCUCACCUAGGCGACGAUCCCUAGCUGGUCUGAGAGGAUGACCAGCCACACUGGAACUGAGACACGGUCCAGACUCCUACGGGAGGCAGCAGUGGGGAAUAUUGCACAAUGGGCGCAAGCCUGAUGCAGCCAUGCCGCGUGUAUGAAGAAGGCCUUCGGGUUGUAAAGUACUUUCAGCGGGGAGGAAGGCGAUAAGGUUAAUAACCUUGUCGAUUGACGUUACCCGCAGAAGAAGCACCGGCUAACUCCGUGCCAGCAGCCGCGGUAA
rnacentral:rRNA from 1 species